ACUUAACCUGUGUCUAAAGCACUGCUGGCCGCCGAUUCUACGCCGCCCGGUCGCCAGGGAGAGUGAAUACAGCUAGGGACGUGAAAGAACGGGGAAGAUAACCGAAGGGUGGUUUGAGAAACCCACCAGGCCAACUGGGAAUUAGAAUUGAUUCAAAACUCCAUUGAUCGCCUGACCUCCAUAAGCUCCUACUCUGCUGCAGUUGAGUGCUGCCACUUAAAUCCUGCAGUCCCGAGAUCCGGUUAUAACCAAUGCAUUUAGAUUUUUCAUUUCGGUGGCAACAAUCUUCAUUGUAAGUUCUGUCCUACAGAGAAGUGUGGUGAUCAAGCUCUUUGGAGAUACUGGGACUCCUCUCACAAAUGUAUGUCUCACAGUUAUGAUGAAUGGUGUAUCUCCUGGAUCUUCCUCAGUUGAAUGCUUCUUAGAGACAAGGCCUCACUCCAUUGCCCCUAGGCCAGGCCUGGUGAGUGACAGCAGCCCUGGUGCCCCAGCCUGCUAGGGCAAUGUGUCACCCAGAGGCUUCAAGGCCCUUCUCACCAUGGUACCCACCUCCUCGAAGCUGCCU
rnacentral:lncRNA from 1 species